rnacentral:rRNA from 1 species
GGUUAAGCGACUAAGCGUACACGGUGGAUGCCCUGGCAGUCAGAGGCGAUGAAGGACGUGCUAAUCUGCGAUAAGCGUCGGUAAGGUGAUAUGAACCGUUAUAACCGGCGAUUUCCGAAUGGGGAAACCCAGUGUGAUUCGUCACACUAUCAUUAACUGAAUCCAUAGGUUAAUGAGGCGAACCGGGGGAACUGAAACAUCUAAGUACCCCGAGGAAAAGAAAUCAACCGAGAUUCCCCCAGUAGCGGCGAGCGAACGGGGAGGAGCCCAGAGCCUGAAUCAGUGUGUGUGUUAGUGGAAGCGUCUGGAAAGGCGCGCGAUACAGGGUGACAGCCCCGUACACAAAAAUGCACAUAUUGUGAGCUCGAUGAGUAGGGCGGGACACGUGGUAUCCUGUCUGAAUAUGGGGGGACCAUCCUCCAAGGCUAAAUACUCCUGACUGACCGAUAGUGAACCAGUACCGUGAGGGAAAGGCGAAAAGAACCCCGGCGAGGGGAGUGAAAAAGAACCUGAAACCGUGUACGUACAAGCAGUGGGAGCACGCUUAGGCGUGUGACUGCGUACCUUUUGUAUAAUGGGUCAGCGACUUAUAUUCUGUAGCAAGGUUAACCGAAUAGGGGAGCCGAAGGGAAACCGAGUCUUAACUGGGCGUUAAGUUGCAGGGUAUAGACCCGAAACCCGGUGAUCUAGCCAUGGGCAGGUUGAAGGUUGGGUAACACUAACUGGAGGACCGAACCGACUAAUGUUGAAAAAUUAGCGGAUGACUUGUGGCUGGGGGUGAAAGGCCAAUCAAACCGGGAGAUAGCUGGUUCUCCCCGAAAGCUAUUUAGGUAGCGCCUCGUGAAUUCAUCUCCGGGGGUAGAGCACUGUUUCGGCAAGGGGGUCAUCCCGACUUACCAACCCGAUGCAAACUGCGAAUACCGGAGAAUGUUAUCACGGGAGACACACGGCGGGUGCUAACGUCCGUCGUGAAGAGGGAAACAACCCAGACCGCCAGCUAAGGUCCCAAAGUCAUGGUUAAGUGGGAAACGAUGUGGGAAGGCCCAGACAGCCAGGAUGUUGGCUUAGAAGCAGCCAUCAUUUAAAGAAAGCGUAAUAGCUCACUGGUCGAGUCGGCCUGCGCGGAAGAUGUAACGGGGCUAAACCAUGCACCGAAGCUGCGGCAGCGACGCUUAUGCGUUGUUGGGUAGGGGAGCGUUCUGUAAGCCUGUGAAGGUGUGCUGUGAGGCAUGCUGGAGGUAUCAGAAGUGCGAAUGCUGACAUAAGUAACGAUAAAGCGGGUGAAAAGCCCGCUCGCCGGAAGACCAAGGGUUCCUGUCCAACGUUAAUCGGGGCAGGGUGAGUCGACCCCUAAGGCGAGGCCGAAAGGCGUAGUCGAUGGGAAACAGGUUAAUAUUCCUGUACUUGGUGUUACUGCGAAGGGGGGACGGAGAAGGCUAUGUUGGCCGGGCGACGGUUGUCCCGGUUUAAGCGUGUAGGCUGGUUUUCCAGGCAAAUCCGGAAAAUCAAGGCUGAGGCGUGAUGACGAGGCACUACGGUGCUGAAGCAACAAAUGCCCUGCUUCCAGGAAAAGCCUCUAAGCAUCAGGUAACAUCAAAUCGUACCCCAAACCGACACAGGUGGUCAGGUAGAGAAUACCAAGGCGCUUGAGAGAACUCGGGUGAAGGAACUAGGCAAAAUGGUGCCGUAACUUCGGGAGAA